AUUGAACGCUGGCGGCAUGCCUUACACAUGCAAGUCGAACGGUAACGGGCCUUCGGGUGCCGCCGAGUGGCGAACGGGUGCGUAAUACAUCGGAACGUGCCCGAUCGUGGGGGUUCACGAGGCGAAAGCUUUGCUAAUACCGCCUACGAUCUCAGGCUGACAGCAGGGGACCGCAAGGGCUUGCGCGGACGGAGCGGCCGAUGGCAGAUUAGGUAGUUGGUGGGAUAAAAGCUUACCAAGCCGACGAUCUGUAGCUGGUCUGAGAGGAUGAUCAGCCACACUGGAACUGAGACACGGCCCAGACUCCUACGGGAGGCAGCAGUGGGGAAUUUUGGACAAUGGGCGCAAGCCUGAUCCAGCCAUGCCGCGUGCAGGAUGAAGGCCUUCGGGUUGUAAACUGCUUUUGUACGGAACGAAAAGCCGUCUUUUAAUACAGGAGGGUCAUGACGGUACCGUAAGAAUAAGCACCGGCUAACUACGUG
rnacentral:rRNA from 1 species